UACGGAGGGAGCUAGCGUUGUUCGGAAUUACUGGGCGUAAAGCGCACGUAGGCGGACUCUUAAGUCGGUGGUGAAAUCCUGGAGCUCAACUCCAGAACUGCCUUCGAUACUGAGAGUCUCGAGUCCGAGAGAGGUGAGUGGAACUGCGAGUGUAGAGGUGAAAUUCGUAGAUAUUCGCAAGAACGACCAGUGGCGAAGGCGGACUCACUGGCUCGGUACUGACGCUGAGGUGCGAAAGCGUGGGGAGCAAACAGGG
rnacentral:rRNA from 1 species